rnacentral:rRNA from 1 species
AUUGAACGCUGGCGGCAGGCCUAACACAUGCAAGUCGAGCGGAGGAAGGGAGCUUGCUCCUGGAUUCAGCGGCGGACGGGUGAGUAAUGCCUAGGAAUCUGCCUGGUAGUGGGGGAUAACGUCCGGAAACGGGCGCUAAUACCGCAUACGUCCUGAGGGAGAAAGUGGGGGAUCUUCGGACCUCACGCUCUCAGAUGAGCCUAGGUCGGAUUAGCUAGUUGGUGGGGUAAAGGCCUACCAAGGCGACGAUCCGUAACUGGUCUGAGAGGAUGAUCAGUCACACGGGAACUGAGACACGGUCCAGACUCCUACGGGAGGCAGCAGUGGGGAAUAUUGGACAAUGGGCGAAAGCCUGAUCCAGCCAUGCCGCGUGUGUGAAGAAGGUCUUCGGAUUGUAAAGCACUUUAAGUUGGGAGGAAGGGCAGUAAGUUAAUACCUUGCUGUUUUGACGUUACCAACAGAAUAAGCACCGGCUAACUUCGUG